AAUGUCAUAAUAUAAUCAGAGUACUUAUUACAUAGCGGAAGACUUACAAAAUAAAAUAUAAAUAUAGAUCAAACUAAAAUCCAUCCUUGGCGCCAUAAAGUCAAUUAGGAGACGCCACCUAGAUCGAAUCGAACUUCUCAUUGUGGCUCCUCUUGAACCACAUGUUCUUCUCCUAUGGGGGUGUGAGACAGCAAGGGUGAGCUCACAAAUGUUCAUCGCUCAACAAGUUGUGGGGAAUAAUGUGUAUGAAGUCACCAAAGGUGGGAGUUCAUGUGAUGUGUAAAGUUGAUCAACAAUAGGGGUUAAAGAUGAGCAUUGCUUUUAAUACGUUGGUCAAAUUUUAUUAGCAAUUACUAGAUGUAUGUAAAUAUCAAUCCAUAAUAAAUAAUAGAACAAAAUUAAUGAAUAUACCCAUGCAAUGCAAAUGAUAAAUUGAAUUUAAGUUCCAUAAAUUAAUCAUGCGAGAGUCCUGAGCUGCUCUUGACCGUGAGCUCAGCUAGUAUACCAGUUUUACACUCUGCAGAGGUUGUACCCUGUAACCACAAGUCGUGUAUCCCAUGUCACCAGGGUUAGCUAGACCCUUAGACACUACCAAGGUGAAUGGCUAGGGAUCCACUACGAGGCCUUUACAAAGUUCCACUAGCUUCUGAAAACCCGCUACAGUUUAUGGGAAGAGCACUUGCAAGAAUCCCUCGUCUGACCGCCAUCGCAACAAAAUCAACCUGAGAACCUCCCUGCAUGCAACUCCCCUACUACCCUUGCCCCUUUCGGGUAAGGUAGUCUUCCACUAGCUUUCCUAAUUAGUCAGCCAAGGGCAUCCCAUUCCACCCUUGUGGUGGCACGUAUUUCUCAAGUUAAGCUCCAUGUUCCAAUUAAAGAUAAUGAUGAUCUUGACAUGAACAUAAAUAACAUAACAGAAUAAUUGGAACAUGGAUAUAAUGAAAUAUUAACCCAAAACUAUAUAAAAGCAAUAGCAAAACUACUCAAGUGAUUCAGGGGUAAACAAGGUAAAAGAAUAUCAGACUAGGGUGACCUAUUGGGUCCCAUCAAAAUUAAACCUAUGCGGGCUCGAGAAUCACUAAAAUCGGAGUUACGGUUAAGUCGUUAUGAUUUUAUAGAGGAUUUAUGUGAUUAAAAUAUUAAACUUUAUUAUAAAUUGGUUAAUAUAUAUCAUAUAUGAGGUUAUUCUAUAAAUAAUUAUCCCUACUUUAAUCUAAGUUAUAAAUUGACCAUAGAUCAUAUUCUAGUAGUUUAUAAUGAUAAGCAGAUUAACAAGACUAACCAACAUAGGUUAAAUAAAAGUCUAGUUAUAAAAGAAUGAAACAUGGUACAAUAAAUGUUAUUAUUGCAUAGUAAAUAUUUAUACGAGACUAACGCAACUGGAACGAGUCAAUUCGGAAUUAAAACGAAGGAGUUAUGAUUUUCUGAAGAUUCUAUGUGUUUUGUACAAGAUUAAAUAGGACAUAAAUUUUUAAUGUGACUAUCAUGUCAAAUCAGUGGCACUAAUUGAUAAACAAUAAUCUUACAAAAUUAUAGGAACUGAAAUAGACUCAUUUGGAUUUAAUAUGAAUUUUCUAUAGAUUUAACAAGAUUUUGGAAUCGUUUUUAUAGAAGAAAUUCAUUUUAUAAAUCAAUUUCUCUGAUUUUCCAUUUCCCUAGACCGCGCCUCAAAUAUCAGAGAAUACAGGGUCUAGGAUGCAAAACAUCUAAGACUCAGUGAAUAGAAUCCCUGGACUGCGGGUUGGUUCCCGUUUUGCGCGGGGCCUCUUUAGCAAAUGUGCUAGCCGAAGGGGUAUGGAGAAUCCCCAUCCGUCCGAUCCCUAAUAGACGCGUUAGAUUAUCUUCAAUUAAAUCCGAACCGUUAUUCUAUACGCGCCCUUAGAUCUGGAUAUUACGGUUCACGGCCGAUCCGCGGGUUGGAUCGCACGACCGGAUCCAACCGUUUGUUCCCAACGGACGGUCCCGAUUCAAAGAAAUCCGCUCGCCGGCCAACUCUAAUCCCGAUCGUCCAAACAGGAUCCAACGAUCCAGGCCUCGUCACCUACCUUCCGCUGAGAACACGCCUAGUGAGCCCUGGCCGCGACGCCCUCGACGGCAGUCAAGGAUCCGCCUCCCUGGCGAGCAGGCGACCAACAGAGAAGGCUAUGGAUUGGAGCGGGGAUAAUUCUUACGCAUCACACAAACAAUGGCGAACUGCAGAGAUGCCCUCACCGCGAUUGGAGGCGACCGCGCGACAUCGUUUCUUCGAGGCGAGGUGCCGGUGCUCUAGCUUGAUGUCGCUGAGAACGCCGCCCGCCACGCGUGUUAUGAACCCAGACGCACUCCACCCUGGUGCACCAAGAUCGCACACUCGUACCUCCUCGACAAUGGUCCACCCUAAUGUUUCCACCGACUGCUUCCUGGCCAAUCCCGAUCUGUGGUCGACGCUAGCAGAGCGUAAUGGGAGGCGAAGGAAGGAGCUAGGUCAGACGGCUACUUAUUGGUGGAGAGUUUUUUUCC
rnacentral:lncRNA from 1 species